GGAAUCAAUGUGUGAGGUGGUGCUAUGUAGCAGGAACCCCUCUUGCUUUGCAAAUAGUUUUUUGUUUGUUUUCCUUUUUGCCCAAUAGAGCCCUGCUCUACUGACCCUUCAAUGUGCCCGUGUGCCUAAAUAUUCCUGGUCGUGUGAAAAGAACCCAGGUAUUAGCUGAACUAAGGAGCACAAUUCUGCAACAUUUUGGCACCCAAACACGGGGCUUGAGAAAUGAAUGCAAUUGGAGAAACUGGUUGUUUUACCAGGCGUUGAUUGGAAAUGUGUGCUUCCCUUUAAGCAGUCAAGCUCAACUUGCAGAACUGAUGGGAACCCCUUGGGAAAACUGGCCUCAAAUGUUUGUCUACACAGUCCACAUACAGGGUUCUUAACCUGCGAGACGGGGUUUCAUCGUGUUAGCCAGAAUGGUCUCGAUCUCCUGACCUCGUGAUUCGCCAGCCUCGGCCUCCCAAAGUGCUGGGAUUACAGGCGUGAGCCACCACGCCCAGCCGGCAUAUUUAACUAUCCGGCUAUUUUGGAGAUUGAAAAAAGAAGACCUGAUUUAUCAUGUGCAAUAUCUCACACAUCUGUCAUUUCUAUUCUACCGCAAUUCGAUGGAGUCUUGUUCUGUGGUCCAGGCUAGAGGGCAGUGGCAUGAUCUCGGCUCACUACAAGCUCUGCCUCCCGGGUUCACGCCAUUCUCCUGCCUCAGCCUCCUGAGUAGCUGGGACUACAGGCGCCCGCCACCACGCCUGGCUAAUUUUUUGUAUAUUUACUAGAGAUGGCUAGUGUUAGCCAAGAUGGUCUCGAUCUCCUGACCUCGUGAUCUGCCCACCUCAGCCUGCCAAAGUGCUGGGAUUACUGGCGUGAGCCACCGUGCCUGGCCAGCAUCCUCUAAUUAUUAUUCAUAGUUUGUGAAUUUAGGCCUACGUGAAUAAUAAUAUAAUAUUUACUAUGAUGUUACUAUCUACCAACCUUAUUUUUCUUUUCUAUAAAAUAGGAGCCAAAAUAAUAUUUAUGUCAUACCUUAUGAAGUUAAAAUAAAAUAUAACGAAUGAGGGGCU
rnacentral:lncRNA from 1 species